GCGGGGGUAGCUCAGUGGUAGAGCUCCAGCCUUCCAAGCUGGCUACGUGGGUUCGAUUCCCGUCACCCGCUCCA
rnacentral:tRNA from 1 species